rnacentral:rRNA from 1 species
UACGUAGGGUGCGAGCGUUAAUCGGAAUUACUGGGCGUAAAGCGUGCGCAGGCGGUCUGUUAAGACAGAUGUGAAAUCCCCGGGCUUAACCUGGGAACUGCAUUUGUGACUGGCAGGCUAGAGUAUGGCAGAGGGGGGUAGAAUUCCACGUGUAGCAGUGAAAUGCGUAGAGAUGUGGAGGAAUACCGAUGGCGAAGGCAGCCCCCUGGGCCAAUACUGACGCUCAUGCACGAAAGCGUGGGGAGCAAACAGGG